CCUACGGGUGGCAGCAGUGAGGAAUAUUGGUCAAUGGGCGAGAGCCUGAACCAGCCAAGUAGCGUGAAGGAUGACUGCCCUACGGGUUGUAAACUUCUUUUAUAAGGGAAUAAAGUGAGGCACGUGUGCCUUUUUGUAUGUACCUUAUGAAUAAGGAUCGGCUAACUCCGUGCCAGCAGCCGCGGUAAUACGGAGGAUCCGAGCGUUAUCCGGAUUUAUUGGGUUUAAAGGGAGCGUAGGUGGGUAAUUAAGUCAGCUGUGAAAGUUUGUGGCUCAACCGUAAAAUUGCCGUUGAGACUGGCUGUCUUGAGUACAGUUGAGGUAGGCGGAAUUCGUGGUGUAGCGGUGAAAUGCAUAGAUAUCACGAAGAACUCCGAUUGCGAAGGCAGCUUACUAAACUACAACUGACAUUGAAGCUCGAAAGUGUGGGGAUCAAACAGGAUUAGAUACCCUAGUAGUC
rnacentral:rRNA from 1 species